GAGGCAGGGGGGUUAACACCCGGCAGCGCGUUGCGCUCCCGGGUGCGUUUGUG
rnacentral:sRNA from 1 species